GUAGGGAAUAUUGGACAAUGGGGGGAACCCUGAUCCAGCCAUGCCGCGUGGAGGAAGACUGCCCUCUGGGUUGUAAACUCCUUUUAUAUGGGAAGAACCGUCCUCAUUAAUGAGUGACCUGACGGUACCAUAGGAAUAAGCACCGGCUAACUCCGUGCCAGCAGCCGCGGUAAUACGGAGGGUGCAAGCGUUAUCCGGAUUCACUGGGUUUAAAGGGUGCGUAGGCGGAUAAAUAAGUCAGUGGUGAAAUCAACGGGCUCAACCUGUUAACUGCCAUUGAUACUGUGUAUCUUGAAUAUGAGAGAGGUAGGCGGAAUGUUGCAUGUAGCGGUGAAAUGCUUAGAUAUGCUACGGAACACCGAUUGCGAAGGCAGCUUACUAUUUCGUAAUUGACGCUGAGGCACGAAAGCGUGGGUAGCGAACAGGAUUAGAAACCCGAGUAGUCCU
rnacentral:rRNA from 1 species